GACGAACGCUGGCGGCGUGCUUAACACAUGCAAGUCGAACGGAAAGGCGCUGCUCUUGUGGGGUGCUCGAGUGGCGAACGGGUGAGUAACACGCGAGUAACCUCCCCCUGACUUUGGGAUAACUCUAGGAAACUGGGGCUAAUACCGGAUAGGAGCUCCUGCUGCACGGUGGGGGUUGGAAAGUGUCGGCCGUGGGGGCUGGACUCGCGGCUUAUCCGCUUGUUGGGGGGGUAGUGGCUUACCAAGGCUUCGACGGGUAGCCGGCCUGAGAGGGUGGCCGGCCACAUUGGGACUGCGAGACGGAGCAGUCGGCUACGGGAGGCAGCAGUGGGGAAUAUUGCGCAAUGGGCGGAAGUCAGAUGCGGAGGCGCCGCGUGCGGGAUGCCGGCCUACGGGUUAUGAACCGCUUUCGCCUGUGACAAAGCGUGAGUGACGGUACUGGGUCAAGAAGCACCGGCUAACUACGUG
rnacentral:rRNA from 1 species